rnacentral:lncRNA from 1 species
CGCUCGCUGCGAGCUGGACACGAACACGCGCCGGUGCCACCAGCAGCAGCUGCCCUCCCACAAGUCCUGCCGCGUGUACCAGACCUGCGACCACGCUGUGCUCAUCUCAGGCGGCUGGCAGGACCAGAUCACCUACCCCCACCACGCCCACAACCUGUGGCUCUUCGCCCAGAUGCUGCGGCGGAACGGUUUCCGGCAGGAGAACAUCAAGGCCUUCUUUGCGGGCGACGGCCAGGCGGCAGUGGCUGCAGAGGUGGGCGACGUGUAUCCGGCCACGGAGAAGCUGCUGAUCCGCAGCCACCUGGCGCUGGUGUGCCGCACACGGCACUGCGCCGACUCGCUGGUGCUUUACCUGAACAGCCCCACCCGGAGCGACGGCACCAUGCUCCUGUGGGACACCAACAAGAACGGCAUCGCCGACCCCAAGGAGUGCUACCCUGUGGCCGAGCUCCUGGCCGACCUGGAGGGCUGCAGUGCCCGCAGGGUCUUCCUCUUCCUCGACCAGAGCUACCCGGGCCUGCUGGCUAAGAAGCUGCUGGCAUCCGGGCGGCACGGGAACGUGGUGCUAGUGAGUGGCCAGCGGGGCUCUGACUUCGCCCGGGGCUCGGCCUUCAGCGAGUUCUGGGCUCGGCUGCAGCCCGACCAGUGCCUGCUGCAGCACCUCCUGCAGGCGGGCCCACGGGCAGCCGGCUCCUCUCCUGGGGCCACGCUGCAGCUGCUCAACGUGACCCUGGCCGGGGCGCCCUGCCACAACACCCCGGCGCUGACGGAGGACGAGCGCAGGAGGGAGUUCCUGGGCUGCCAGAACCUGCCCACCAUGCUCUGGUACCAGGCCGCACACACGCAGCAGCAGCAGGAUGACAACUGAAGCCAGGUCCCANCAGGAUGACGACUGAAGCCAGGUCCCAUCCCUGGUUCCUGCUUCCUGCAGAGCCCCCCACCCCCGCUCAGAGCCAGCCGCAGGGGCCGUGCCCCCUCCCAGGCAUCAGCCACAGCGCCAGGCCCAGCUGGGAUGAGCAGCCAGGGGCGGGAGGGCAGCACUUAGGCUCCGAAAGGGCCCUUGGCACGUGCCAGGUGGGGACAGGGAGGGGACCUGCU